rnacentral:rRNA from 1 species
AUUGAACGCUAGCGGCAUGCUUUACACAUGCAAGUCGAACGAGUGGCGGACGGGUGAGUAAUAUAUCGGAACCUGCCUAGUGGCGGGGGAUAACUACUCGAAAGAGUAGCUAAUACCGCAUACUAUUGGAGCGGCCGAUAGCGGAUUAGCUAGUUGGUGGGGUCAAGGCUAACCAAGGCAACGAUCCGUAGCUGGUUUGAGAGGAAGACCAGCCACACUGUGACUGGAACACGGCCCAGACUCCUACGGGAGGCAGCAGUGGGGAAUUUUGGACAAUGGGGGAAACCCUGAUCCAGCCAUCCCGGGUGUAUGAGAAGGCCUUCGGGUUGUAAAGUACUUUUGGCAGGGAAGCGGUAUCUGCAGAAUAAGCACCGGCUAACUACGUGCCAGCAGCCGCGGUAAUUC